rnacentral:rRNA from 1 species
CAGGCCUAACACAUGCAAGUCGAACGGUUCCUUCGGGCGAUAGUGGCAAACGGGUGCGUAACGCGUAAGCAACCUGCCCCUGACUGGGGGAUAGCCUGGCGAAAGCCGGGGUAAGCCCGCACGGUGCCAAGAGAUCACCUGGUUUUUUGGCUAAAGAUUCAUCGGUCAGGGAGGGGCUUGCGUCUGAUUAGGUAGUUGGCAGGGUAACGGCCUACCAAGCCGAUGAUCAGUAGGGGUUCUGAGAGGAUUGGCCCCCACAUGGGUACUGAGAGACGGACCCAACUCCUACGGGAGGCAGCAGUAGGGAAUAUUGGGCAAUGGGCGCAAGCCUGACCCAGCCAUGCCGCGUGCCGGACGAAGGCGCUCAGCGUUGUAAACGGCUUUUACUCAUGAAGAACGAUCGCUUUGCGAAGUGAUGUGACGGUAAUGAGGGAAUCAGCACCGGCUAACUCCGUGCCAGCAGCCGCGGUAAU